CCCUAAGUGCCUGCUGCCAUGGUGAGCUGGAGUCAGACAGCCAGAGCUCCUAUCCUGGCUCUUGGUCUUCAGAUUUCCCGGCAAGUGAUUCAGCUUCUUGUCAUCUGUGAAAUGAAGAGACCAACAGACCCCGUCAUAGGGUUGCCAUGAAGAUUAAGUGAAAUUGGCAUCCUUUUCCCUUUUCCAGACUCUUGAAGUUGCCCAGGUGGUGGCUUCUGACAUUUGGCCCAGAGAUGGGUAAUGUGCCGAGGCUGUAACAAGCUUUGAGGGAAGCACAUGUCACACCGCGGUGCGGACGCCCAGUCAUCACGCUUAUGAACUACAAAAGGAUCAGGAUCACCGUGGAUGCAGGUUGGGCCCUAAAUCCGGUAUGACUGGUGUCCUUACAAGAAGAGAAGUGAUAGAGAGACAGAGCCACCCGAGAGAAAGCCAUGUGAUGACCGGAGCAUAAAUACCACCACAAGCCACGAAACACCAAGUAUUGUCGGCAAACCACCAGAGACUGGGAAGCAGCAAGGCAGGAUCCCUGUUGAGAGCCUUUAGCAGAAGCGAGGUGCUGCUGACAACUUGAGUUUGGACUUCUAGCCUCUAGAAGCAUGAGAAAAUACUAUUCUAUUGUUUUAAGCCACAGAGUUUGUGAUAUGCGUUACAGUGGCCCUAAGAAGCGAAUAAA